UCUCUGGUAGUAUAGUGGUCAGUAUCCCCGCCUGUCACGCGGGAGACCGGGGUUCGAUUCCCCGCCAGAGAG